AUAUAUAGUUUGGGGAGUAUAAGAGUACUUAAAAACUAAAGGAUAUGGCGGUAUUUUAUUUUAUCAGGGGAACUUGUACCUUAAUUUGAUAAUCCACGUUUCUAUAGUCUAGUUUUGAAACAUCAGUUUGUGUACUGCCGUAUUAUAUACUUUAAGAAUUCAGUUUAUAAAAUUUAUUUUAUAAAUUAAAUCAGGUCAAAGUGCAGCUUAUAAUUAGAUGAAGUAUGAGUUACAUUUAUUUAAGAUUCGGGUUAAUUAAACUUGAAGGAUUUGAUAGUAAUUAUGUAUACAUAUGUAUAAUGAAUUUUAUUCUAAAAUAUG
rnacentral:rRNA from 1 species